rnacentral:lncRNA from 1 species
UUAAAUGCAAAUGCCGAGCAAUUGUGAUAUUUGCUUGUAUUGUUUUGUAUUGAUUUUUUAAAGUUAUUAUUUUAUAUAUAUAAUUUUUAUAAGUUUUUUGAACAUUUUAUUUUUUUAAUAAUCUAAUCUCAACUCAUAAAUAGGAGUAUAAUGUAUUUCAACAUAGUCAAUUGAACUAAAAUUCAAUUGAUUUAUAAAUUAUUAUUUAUAUCAAAAGCAUAUUGAAAUUAUUGUAAAUAACAAUAGCACCCAA